CCUACGGGUGGCUUCAGUGGGGAAUAUUGGGCAAUGGGCGAAAGCCUGACCCAGCAACGCCGCGUGAAGGAAGAAGGUCUUCGGAUCGUAAACUUCUAUCCUUGGUGAAGAUAAUGACGGUAGCCGAGAAGGAAGCCCCGGCUAACUACGUGCCAGCAGCCGCGGUAAUAAGGAGGGGGCAAGCGUUGUCCGGAAUGAUUGGGCGUAAAGGGCGCGUAGGCGGCCUGGUAAGUCUGGAGUUAAAGUCCUGCUUUUAAGGUGGGAAUUGCUUUGGAUACUGUCGGUCUUGAGGGCAGGAGAGGUAAGUGGAAUUCCCGGUGUAGCGGUGAAAUGCGUAGAGAUCGGGAGGAACACCAGUGGCGAAGGCGACUUACUGGACUGUAACUGACGCUGAGGCGCGAAAGUGUGGGGAGCAAACA
rnacentral:rRNA from 1 species